AACGCGAAGAACCUUACCUGACCUUGACAUCCCUCUGACAGACCCGUAAUGGGGUUUUACCUUCGGGACAGAGGAGACAGGUGGUGCAUGGUUGUCGUCAGCUCGUGUCGUGAGAUGUUGGGUUAAGUCCCGCAACGAGCGCAACCCUUAUCCUUAGUAGCCAGCAGGUAGAGCUGGGCACUCUAGGGAGACUGCCGGGGAUAACCCGGAGGAAGGUGGGGAUGACGUCAAAUCAUCAUGCCCCUUAUGGCCAGGGCUACACACGUGCUACAAUGGCGUAAACAAAGGGAAGCGACCUCGUGAGAGUAAGCAAAUCCCAAAAAUAACGUCUCAGUUCGGAUUGUAGUCUGCAACUCGACUACAUGAAGCUGGAAUCGCUAGUAAUCGCGAAUCAGAAUGUCGCGGUGAAUACGUUCCCGGGUCUUGUACACACCG
rnacentral:rRNA from 1 species